rnacentral:rRNA from 1 species
GACAGAGGGUGCAAACGUUGUUCGGAAUGACUGGGCGUAAAGCGCGUGUAGGCGGCCUCGCAAGUCGGGUGUGAAAGCCCUGGGCUCAACCCAGGAAGUGCACUCGAAACUGCAAGGCUUGAGUUCCGGAGAGGAAAGCGGAAUUCUCGGUGUAGAGGUGAAAUUCGUAGAUAUUGAGAGGAACACCGGUGGCGAAGGCGGCUUUCUGGACGGCGACUGACGCUGAGACGCGAAAGCGUGGGGAGCAAACAGG